ACCAGCAUGGCAUAGUGGUUUGAGUACUGGACUACAACUCUGGAGAUAAGGGUUCAAUUCCCAGUUUGGCC